UACGGGGGGGGGUAAGCGUUGUCCGGAAUCACUGGGCGUAAAGGGCGCGUAGGUGGCGACCCAAGUCGAUGGUGAAAGCUCGCCGCUCAACGGCGAGUCGGCCACCGAUACUGGGUUGCUGGAGCACUGUAGAGGCUCAUGGAAUUCCGGGUGUAGCGGUGGAAUGCGUAGAGAUCCGGAAGAACACCGGUGGCGAAGGCGGUGAGCUGGGCAGUUGCUGACACUGAGGCGCGACAGCGUGGGGAGCAAACAGG
rnacentral:rRNA from 1 species